ACUAGUAAACCUUAAUAAAGAGAUCUCAAACAUCAAAACUUCAGCAAAUUCAUCAACCAGCAGACUUUUGCAACUGCAGGCAUGUUACAGUUAAUCACUGACGUCUAAUUUCAACAAGUCUAUUCCAUAAAGAAAGUUAAAGCCAAUUAAGAUAUCAAAGAGAAGAGAACAAUUAACAACUGGAAGCAUGAUGAUAGCAACAUCAACACUAAUAUAGACAAAUGUAUGGAAUUGAAAUGGAUGCGAG
rnacentral:misc_RNA from 1 species